UGAUGGAGUGAUUUGUCUGGUUAAUUCCGUUAACGAACGAGACCUUAGCCUACUAAAUAGUCGCUACAAUCAUGAUUGUCUGCGACUUCUUAGAGGGACUUUGUAAGCAAAUACAAGGAAGUUUGAGGCAAUAACA
rnacentral:rRNA from 1 species